rnacentral:lncRNA from 1 species
UUUAAAUAAGUCAAAAUUAAAAUAAAUUUUUGAUAAGCAAAUUGUCACAACCAUUAAAAUUACAACCAUAACAAAAUUAAAAUAAUCAUUCUCUGUCUCAACAAAAUUAGUUUUUUUCCAAAGGCACAAUGACUUUUAAGUUCUUGAGGAACCAGUACAACCAAUUUGAAUCAUUCUCUGUCUCAACAACCGCGAUAGCUAAUGUGAAUAAACCUACAAAAAUACAAAGAAAAAAUAUAUUGAUCAACAUAGUAAUCAACUACAAUAAAGGUUGGUCAACUCUAAUACAGGUUGAUAAACAUAAUAAUCAACUAUCUAAACAAAAUAAUAAAAUAGAAACAAAGUUGAUCAAAAUGAUUAUCAAGUCCAAUAUAUAUUGCUCAUCUGUUUACCAACUCAAACAUUUGUUCAAACCCUAAACCUUAAAGCACAACCCUAAAUUUAAUCUUGGGUGAUUUAGGUUUUGGUCACCACAUGUUAGUAUAAAUUAGGUUUUGGAGCUGGUUUUUAUCUUUAUUAGGGUUUGGCCAUCAACCGGGACUUAACCCAAACAAUAAUUUGAAAUGGCCGAAAUACCCCUAUCUACAUAGCACGUGAAAUACAGAGUCCUUUGGAAUCCAAAGCUGAAGAAUGAAGAUGACUACCAGCAAUCUUUGGUCUUUUUUUACUCUUCAACCAGAAAUCCAAAUUAAACUAUUUUUUUGCUUUUUCUCAAUUUCUUUGAAACGCUUGAAUAAAUUAUCUAAAAUACUCUAUGGUUUCAUUACUCUUUAACAAACCCCUCAAACAACCCAACAGCUUUGCCACAAACCCCGUUUUGGAACAACCAUAAAGAAUUCCAAAAACUAAAUCUCUUUCUGAAAUUUCAUCAAACACAUUCCGUACAAACCCCAAUUCAUUACACCUUGCCUACAUAGUGAUCAAUGAGUGAACAAUAUGAGAAUCAGAUUGUAACCCAAUCUUUAUUAUCUAAGAAUGAGUUGUUCUACCAUGAUUUAAAGAAAGAUUAUUAGCACAAGAGUUAAGUAAAAAUGGGUAAGUGAAAUUAUUUGGUUUUAUGCCUUACCACUUCAUUUGGAAGUAGAGUUGAAGAGGAAAUUGAUGCCAAGUCACAGACUUCUUAAUUUCCUUAAUGGGUUUCAAAAAGAAAAAGAGAAAACGCGAUUGAAUCGAUUCAAGUUUAAUAGGCGAAGCAAUUGAAGAAUGGUUUUCGAAUCGAUGAUUAUGGUGAGGAAACUAUAGAAAAAUAAGAAGAAAAGUGAAGAAAAAAUUGUUUUGGAAAGUAUUGAUUUAAGAUGAAAGAAAGCUUUUCCAGAGAGCUUUAAUGGUGGAAUGCUUGUGUAUAGACUUUCCCUUGCUUCUGAAAUCAAAUUGCUCCACUUUUCUACAAAGCUUGAUUUCGUCUUCAUGUCUCAUACCCACCAUUGCAAAGGAUCAACUCAAUUUCGUCUCGUCUUCAGAUCAUUUACCCAUUUAGGUAUUGUAUAAGGCUAUAAGCAUUAUGGUGAUCAUUUAUGGGUGUUUGCUAGAGCUUCGUGAUAACUAGUAGAGCUUAUGGCACUUUAUAUUUCAAUAUUAUGUUUUACAGUAGCUUUAAAGUUUUUUCGUGCAGGUCACGUGUUUUAUCAGGGGUAAUAUCAGGUAUUUCAAAAAAAAUCUCGGUUAAACCGGGUUUUUUUAGUUGUUGGUUCAAAAAUGAUGGCCAAACCCUAAUAAAGAUAAAAACCAACUCCAAAACCUAAUUUAUACUAAUAUGUGGUGACCAAAACCUAAAUCACCCUUUAAUCUUUCUAAAACCCUAAACCAAUGGGAAUGGUGAACCCUAGUGGAAUGUUGUCUUAAGUACACCUUAAAUUCCAUGUAUCUAAAUGCGAUUUUCUAAACCCCUAAACUAAUGGAAAUGGUGAACCCUAGUAAUAUUGUCUUAAGUACAUCUUAAUGUUGUCAUUUUAAACACCCAAACCAAUGGGAAUAGUGAACCCUAGUGGAACGUGGUCUUAGGUACACCCUAAUGUUGUCAUUCUAAACCCAUAAACCAAUGGGAAUGGCGAACCCUAGUGGAAUGAUGUCUUAAGUACAUCUUAAAUGUCAUGUAUCUAAAUGCGAUAUUUUAUAAAACCCUAAACCAAUGGGAAUGACAAACCCUAGUGGAAUGUUGUCUUAAGUACAGCUCAAAAUCCUAGACCCUAAAAUGCAUAACCUUCCAAUAUCUAAAAACUCAAGCAACUAAUAUUAUUUAGUUGAUCAACAUGAUGAUCAACUCCAAUAUCUUUUGAUAGACAUGUUGACCAACUCUGGCAAUUCAAAGCAACUAACAUUAUGUAGUUCAUGUUCAUCAACAUGUUGAUAAACUCCAAUAGUUGUUGAUAGGCAUGUUGAUCAAAUCAAACCGAAUUCAUCAAAUUAAUAAAAAUAAAAAAUCACAAACAUCGUAAACAAUCUUGUGUUUUUUAUCAUCAUGUGUUAUCAACUGUUGUGCUAUAAUAAGUGUUAAGUUGAUGUAUAAGUUGAUCAAAUCAGUAUAUGUAUAUUAAUCAACCCAGUAUUUGUUGAUCAACAUAUUGAUUAACCUUAACAUGUAAAACAAUUAUUAUAUUGGUUGAUCAACAUAUUGAUUGUAUAUUGGUAGAUCAACAUAUUAAUCAACUAUUGUAUAAGUUGAUGAAAUCAAUAUAUGUAUAUGUCGAUCAACAUAUUGAUCAACUUGAAAUUGGUUGAUCAACAUAUUGAUCAACUUGUUAGCAAUACAUACAUCAUCAUGAGAUGUCAGGAGAAUAAAAAACAUUAUGAACACAUUCAACAAAAGUUUAAUUGAAGAAAACCUAAUCCAAUCCAACAAGAAGAACAAAAAAUAACAAAAACACCAAAUUCAAUUGCAAAGUUUGAUAAACAAAUUGAACAAACAAAAUCAUAAAUAAAAUUAAAUUCAUCAUACUAAAAGCUAAUUAAUGAAAAAAAUCCAAAAACAAAAUAAGUUGAAUAGACAAAAUCAUGAUGUUUGCUUCAUCAACAAUGAAAAACUAACCUUGAUGUUCCAUUCAUUAACCUUGAUGUUCACUUCAUCAAUAGAACAAAAAACAACAAUCUCAAAUCUCUAAAGAAAAAUCUUCUUCUUCGCCUUCUUCUUCUUCGUAAAGUUUAGGAGUGAAAUUCAAA